UCCUCGAUAGCUCAGUUGACUAGAGCUUCGAACUCGCAAUUCGGAGGUUGCGGGUUCGGACUCCCGCUCGGGGAA